ACGCACGCUGGCGGCGUGCUUCACACCUGCCAGUCGAACGGAAAGGCCCUGCCUUUGUGGGGUGCUCGAGUGGCGAACGGGUGAGUAACACGUGAGUAACCUGCCCUUGACUUUGGGAUAACUUCAGGAAACUGGGGCUAAUACCGGAUAGGAGCUCCUGCUGCAUGGUGGGGGUUGGAAAGUUUCGGCGGUUGGGGAUGGACUCGCGGCUUAUCAGCUUGUUGGUGGGGUAGUGGCUUACCAAGGCUUUGACGGGUAGCCGGCCUGAGAGGGUGACCGGCCACAUUGGGACUGAGAUACGGCCCAGACUCCUACGGGAGGCAGCAGUGGGGAAUAUUGCACAAUGGGCGGAAGCCUGAUGCAGCAACGCCGCGUGCGGGAUGACGGCCUUCGGGUUGUAAACCGCUUUCGCCUGUGACGAAGCGUGAGUGACGGUAAUGGGUAAAGAAGCACCGGCUAACUACGUG
rnacentral:rRNA from 1 species